ACGGCUACCUUGUUACGACUUAACCCCAGUCAUCGAUCCUGCCUUCGACGGCUCACUCCUCUAAUGAGGUCAUGCCACCGGCUUCGGGCAUUACCGACUCCCAUGGUUUGACGGGCGGUGUGUACAAGGCCCGGGAACGUAUUCACCGCGGCAUGCUGAUCCGCGAUUACUAGCGAUUCCAACUUCAUGGAGGCGGGUUGCAGCCUCCAAUCCGAACUGGGACGGCUUUUAUGAGAUUCGCUCGACAUCCCUGUCUCGCUGCUCUUUGUAGCCGCCAUUGUAGUACGUGUGUAGCCCAGGCCAUAAGGGGCAUGAUGAUUUGACGUCAUCCCCGCCUUCCUCCGGUUUGUCACCGGCAGUCUGGCAUGAGUCCUCAGCUUUUCCUGUUAGCAACAUGCCACAAGGGUUGCGCUCGUUGCGGGACUUGACCCAACAUCUCACGACACGAGCUGACGACAACCAUGCACCACCUGUGUGGAUGUUGACCUCCGAUGCAUCUCUGCAUCUUCGCAUCCCAUGUCAAGGCCUGGUAAGGUUCUUCGCGUUGCUUCGAAUUAAACCACAUACUCCACCGCUUGUGCGGGCCCCCGUCAAUUCCUUUGAGUUUCACACUUGCGUGCAUACUCC
rnacentral:rRNA from 1 species